rnacentral:lncRNA from 1 species
GGCGGACAUGACUUUUGUUUAUUCAUAACGAACAUUGGAUACACACUGCUGCCUGUCAUGAGGCGUGGGAAAGAUUUUCAUCAGUUCCAGCCAGGGCUCCAGGAGAGUAACACGUAUUCUCAUGUUUCUGUCUGAACUCAACACCAUGUGGAAAAUAUUUAAUGGACAAACAUUCUAGAACUUAAUAGCUGAUUAUGAGACUUCAGGUAUUUGCCAUGUUCCAUAUUUUUACAUUAUGAAGUAACUAUAAGUGUUAUAUUUCUGCAUACACCCUUUUUGGAUCUGUGACCUAUGACAAGGAUCUUAAACAUGUCUAUUAUUCACCUAGGACACUGUUAUGCCCUAUCUCUGAAUGCUGGCAAGCAAGUUUCUAAUUAAUUCUAUCACAAAUUCCUCUACCAAUAAAUUAUUAUUGUUCUGUUAA